CCUACGGGUGGCAGCAGUGAGGAAUAUUGGUCAAUGGACGAGAGUCUGAACCAGCCAAGUAGCGUGAAGGAUGACUGCCCUAUGGGUUGUAAACUUCUUUUAUAUGGGAAUAAAACGUUCCACGUGUGGGAUUUUGUAUGUACCAUAUGAAUAAGGAUCGGCUAACUCCGUGCCAGCAGCCGCGGUAAUACGGAGGAUCCGAGCGUUAUCCGGAUUUAUUGGGUUUAAAGGGAGCGUAGGUGGAUUGUUAAGUCAGUUGUGAAAGUUUGCGGCUCAACCGUAAAACUGCAGUUGAAACUGGCAGUCUUGAGUACAGUAGAGGUGGGCGGAAUUCGUGGUGUAGCGGUGAAAUGCUUAGAUAGCACGAAGAACUCCGAUUGCGAAGGCAGUUCACUGGACUGCAACUGACACUGAGGCUCGAAAGUGUGGGUAUCAAACAGGAUUAGAUACCCUAGUAGUC
rnacentral:rRNA from 1 species